UGGUUAUGCACAUGGGCGCAGCCUGAUGCAGCCAUGCCGCGUGUGUGAAGAAGGCCUUCGGGUUGUAAAGCACUUUCAGUCGUGAGGAAGGUAGUGUAGUUAAUAGCUGCAUUAUUUGACGUUAGCGACAGAAGAAGCACCGGCUAACUCCGUGCCAGCAGCCGCGGUAAUACGGAGGGUGCGAGCGUUAAUCGGAAUUACUGGGCGUAAAGCGCAUGCAGGUGGUUUGUUAAGUCAGAUGUGAAAGCCCGGGGCUCAACCUCGGAAUUGCAUUUGAAACUGGCAGACUAGAGUACUGUAGAGGGGGGUAGAAUUUCAGGUGUAGCGGUGAAAUGCGUAGAGAUCUGAAGGAAUACCGGUGGCGAAGGCGGCCCCCUGGACAGAUACUGACACUCAGAUGCGAAAGCGUGGGGAGCAAACAGGAUUAGAUACCCUGGUAGUCCACGCCGUAAACGAUGUCUACUUGGAGGUUGUGGCCUUGAGCCGUGGCUUUCGGAGCUAACGCGUUAAGUAGACCGCCUGGGGAGUACGGUCGCAAGAUUAAAACUCAAAUGAAUUGACGGGGGCCCGCACAAGCGGUGGAGCAUGUGGUUUAAUUCGAUGCAACGCGAAGAACCUUACCUACUCUUGACAUCCAGAGAACUUUCCAGAGAUGGAUUGGUGCCUUCGGGAACUCUGAGACAGGUGCUGCAUGGCUGUCGUCAGCUCGUGUUGUGAAAUGUUGGGUUAAGUCCCGCAACGAGCGCAACCCUUAUCCUUGUUUGCCAGCGAGUAAUGUCGGGAACUCCAGGGAGACUGCCGGUGAUAAACCGGAGGAAGGUGGGGACGACGUCAAGUCAUCAUGGCCCUUACGAGUAGGGCUACACACGUGCUACAAUGGCGCAUACAGAGGGCGGCCAACUUGCGAAAGUGAGCGAAUCCCAAAAAGUGCGUCGUAGUCCGGAUUGGAGUCUGCAACUCGACUCCAUGAAGUCGGAAUCGCUAGUAAUCGUGGAUCAGAUGCCACGGUGAAUACGUUCCCGGGCCUUGUACACACGCUCGUCACACCAUGGGAGUGGGCUGCAAAGAAGUAGGUAGUUUAACCUUCGGGGGGACCCUUACCACUUGUGGUUCAUGACUGGGGGUGAGU
rnacentral:rRNA from 1 species